rnacentral:misc_RNA from 1 species
AACGCACCUUGCGCUCCUUGGUAUUCCGAGGAGCAUGCCUGUUCGAGUGUCAUUAAAUUUAUCAAACCUUUUACUUAUUUGUAAAGGAUUUGGAAGUGGGGGUUUUUUUGCUGGCUUUGUAAAGAGUCUGCUCCCUUCAAAUUCAUUAGCUGUGUUACAUAUGAGUGUUAGUUGGUGUGAUAAUUAUCUACGCCGCUAUAUACACUACUAUGUAUUGCUUCAAAUGGUCCUUUAUUGGUGGACAUUUGACCUCGAAUCAGGUAGGAUUACCCGCUGAACUUAA